AAGAACAGAUAAGGCAAGUGAAAAUAAUACCUUGCAGCACGUGGAGACAACGUGCAGAAGAAACAAGCAGAGAAGAAUGCAGCCUGCACAGUCAACUCCGCAGAAGGAGUCUAAGAUGAGGAACUCGAGAAGAUGCCACAUCUGCCUGAGGAACAGAUAAAGGAAAUGAAAAUGAUACCUUGAAGCAUGUGGAGACAAGUGUAACAAAGCACGUGCUGAUUCAUCCGCUAUUUCUUCAAAAUCAAAAGUAUCUCAUAUCAUCAGGGUUGCAAUCACUUUGGAUAGUGAACUCGUUUUGACCCUCAAAUUCUUGGGUCGACUUACUAGGCGUUGUGGGCUGCACGUGUCGAUUCACCACCCUUGAAUCAAAUCCUUAAAGAUCAAGUCACAAACUGGAAGAAUAGCCCAUCAAUCUUGAAGAUCAUACCGUUGACCAAACUGCUCAGGUGUGAAUUAGAAAGAUUGAACAAAGCAACAAGUCGUCACCUUCACCUCGUGCCGGCUUGUCAUGUGUUCGAGUCAACCUUCAAGAAUCAAGCCUCAACGACCCUUGAAGAAGUUUCCAGCCAAAUUCAAGAUCAACCCUCGACGGCCCUUGAGGAAAUCACAAGUCCGAUUCAAGAUCAAGUGUCUAUCACCCAUGAAUCAAAACCAGUUCAAGAAUAAGCUGUGGAAAGUCAACAAUUGGAGGAAACUAGAAAAUCCUCCAACCUAGUUCAAGAAUAAGCUGUGGAAAGUCAACAACUGGAGAAAUCCAGAAAAUCCUCCAACCCAGUUCAAGAUCAAAGCUGUGGAAAGUCAACAAGUGCAACAAAAUACGUGCCGAUUCAUCCACUACCAAAGCCAAGGAUAAUCUACCACAUGAAGCUCCUUGUGGUCCAAUUUCAACCUUCAAGAUCAAGCCUCGACGGCCCUUGAAGAAAUCUCAAGCC
rnacentral:lncRNA from 1 species